CUCUGGAUGAGAACAUAGCCCAACAGAUACCUUGACUUCUCAGAUGGGUGGGACCAUGACCAGAAGACCUUCAUCAAUGUAGAGACAAACUUUCUGACCUACAGAAAAUCUUUGCCCUGUUUCUACUUCAUGUACCCAUGAAAAGAAAAUGAAUAACAAGAAUGACAUUUAUGUCACCCAGGACAAUGGAAAGAAGGGAUGUUCCUGCUGUUUGUGGCUGCAUGGUUGGCUGAGAAUACUACUCAUGUUGGCCCUAGAAGUACUCCCUGUAUUUCCAUCUCCAUGUCCUCUCUUCAGGGCUUAUCAACUUCAGUUGCUUCAGAAAACAAAGUGAGGAGCCACUAGAACAAGGCAAAACUAUUUAUAUUUUAAAAGGCAGACUAUAUUCUAUCAUCUAUUCCCAAGAUGAAACGAAUAGAGGACCAAUCAACCAGCAAACAGGCAAGGAAGGAGAUCGCCCUCCACUCUCCUAUCAUGUGUCUCUUUCCUCGAAGUUACUCCUGGUCAAAUGGGACAAAGGCCUUUCUGGAAUCUAUAAGAGAACACCUUGUCAUGUCUGUGUGUUAGCACAGCGUGAUGGGCCAGUCAGUGCAUCACAAAUAUUCAUCCACCGCCUAUGGUGCUUCUAGAAGAUUGCAAGCCUCUGGGGGCAGAGGAAGACCACAUGCUGCCCUUCUGGGACUUUCACUCUUAACAUUGCAAACAGGCUUCAGUCAAAUAAUUAAAUAACUGGUAACAUACAAAUUGUUAUUUAAGAAAAGCACCACACACAAAUGUUGUGGUUAAUCUCUUCCAGAUAUAUGUGAAUGACCAUGGGCAAAAGCAACCGCAUAGAACACGCAUUGAUUAAGCUCUUACUAAGGAUGCUACAUUAAAGGUCUUAGCAAAAUCCUUGGUAGAGACUAUAUGUUCUAUAAAUGACAAAGAACGUAUAAAUAGCCCCCUGCUAUUACAUAGUGGAAUUACAUAUUUCCACACCUAAUUCCACUUCCAUUUCACUCAAAUUAGACUAGGAAUAUUAUAAAAGGCACGCCACCUUUAUAGUAUUAAUUGGUGUACCAACCCAAAAGAGUUGGUGUACAAAGCGUCCAGAGGCCUAACCAGUGGUGGGAAUCUCUCUUUUUCCUCACUACCUACCCUUUUUAAGGUCUCUGCAAGCUCAGUUCCUGAUUUAUGACAGAUGAUAUAGUAGAGAAAGCAUGGGAGUUAGACUUAGCUAAACUUGGAUGUAAGCUAUGCUCAACCAGUGAUUGGGAAGAUAAACUUAACUCCUUCGUGAAAUGGAAAUAAUAAUAUUUGCUGCAUAGAACUUCUAGAAGCCUGAUAUGAGGGUACCUACAAAAGGACCAAAGAGGACCACUGGCAGGGAGGACUGGGAUGCUUAAGCUGUUCUUUGAGGACAGACAAGAUUCAAUUCUAUAUUUAAAGGCCAUAGAUGACAAACCAGCCAUGCACUGAUACCUUGCAAGGAUAAUGGGGUAGUCUUCCCAUUUGUCCUAAGCACAGUCUGAGCACUGAUGUAAAAUAGUGAUUAAGUUUCUACCAGCAAAGUGGCUCAUAGUGGAAGACGGGGGCAGCCUGCUUUGGCGUCUGUUUAAAUACCCAAAUGGAGCCCAAGUCAAACUCAAAGGCACCUCAAGAGUCAACCUACUGUCCCUGUUUCAUCAAAGCUAAAUGGCAGAUCCUGUCUCUGCCUUACUUACAGUCUCAUUCCAAACCGUCAGCUUGGGCUUUCUUUAUUAUACCCUGCAGUCUCUAAAUUGCCGUGCAGGAUUUUCUGAGAACUCGUCCGUGUGAACAUCGUGUGCUGCUGGAUGUACGCAUGCACUUGCACAAAUAAGUAAUGGAGAGCUGGCUUAGGAAGGAGGAAUUACAUUUUUUUUCUUCAAAUGACAUAUUUGAGCAUUAAAAACAAUGCAUUCUGUUCUCCUGCUAGCAAGGAAUAAUGAAACUAGAGCCUCGCCUUCCCAGUAGCUCCUGCCUUUGAAUCGUGCAAAGCAGAAAGGAUCCUCAGUUUAUAGGCAGCAACAGCCUCCAGAAGCUACAGGAACAUUGCCAAGAGCUCUGAAAAACCUCCACAGCUAAUUGGGAACCGGCUUAUUAGUGACACUUUUGAGAGUCAGGUUGUCAUUGAAGAGAAACGAAGGAGAACACGGUGGGCGCUGUAGCCUGGAAUUAGGCAGUGGGAGGGAGGGCUGGUUCCUUCUCCUCACAAGAACAUUGCUCUGUAAUUUUCUCAAACGCUGUGCUCAGCUGCUUGCAAAAGCCCUGAAUCUUGGGAGGCUGCAGACAACACCUUAGCCUCCACAGUGGCUUGAAUGCUAUCCCCCACCAUCCACAUUUGGAGAGCUGGGUGGCCGUUUCAAAGAUACCCUGAAUUAGUUAACGCAACCAAGAUAAAUGUGUCCCACCCUCUGAGUAGCAGCCUCUUGAACCUGUGUCUCCAUUUUUUUUGUGUAGUUAACUCAGAAUGUUUAUU